rnacentral:lncRNA from 1 species
CCCGCAACAAGUUUUACUGCCCCACCAUUGGCGCCGACCGCUUCUGGUCCCUCGGCCCCGACGACAUCAAGGAUUUCGCCACAGCUUGUGAUGACAGCUUUGCCCUCUUGACCGGUGUCACCCCGUCUUGCUACUCCAAAAUUCUCAGGCAGAACAUCUUCACCGGUUGUCCCCGUUAUUGAACCCCUAUUGUUGAAGGAAUCCUCCCUCGAGCCCCCUUUAAAGCGACAGGAACCUUCAGCGGCCGCCCGACGAUCGGAGAACUCGCAGACUGCUGUUCUCCUCCUUGUGCUCUUCCAAGUCCAUGGCAUCCUCUUGAGGUUGGCCUCCGGGGCAGAGGCCC